rnacentral:lncRNA from 1 species
ACUGGAUGCAUGGUGGAGACCGCCUUGAAGGGUGUAGGCUUCAAACCAGCGCUGGCCUUGCACUGUUGCAGCCCGUAGUUGGCAGAGGAAGCCGCUCCUGAGCCUGGGGCCGCUCACUCACAGGUCUGGUCAGGAGGCUGUUCUGAGAGAGGCCUCGCACCCUGGAUUCAGGAGAGUGUGCACCAUCUUGUAACAGCAAAUUGUAAAGCAGAUCUGGGCUCCAGCGUAACCCACUUUUGUUAAUGAAAACGGUGAGGGUGAUGUAUUGACAGACUGCGACUCUGUACUGUCUUUAGUUAAUUAUGUCUCCUUCAGAACUCUGUUGCUUCUGGUAUAAUAAAGUAUGGAAGAAUGUUUUUUACUCUCGGGCCCGGGAGAACUUCUUCCUCUCCUAGAGUAGCUUGCAGCUGUACAUGCAGUGGGGAGCAGGUAUGAUGGACAACACGGGAGGCCAC